CGGGGCUUAGGUUGAACGCUUGGCGCGUCUUCUCUGUACGGGUAGUCGGUGCGUUCUCCUCCCGGGCACAGCUCUUAUUAGAGGGAGUUGUACGUACAGUAUAACCGCCAGCCUGCACCGUACAGAUUCAAGUGGAUUACCCUUAAUCACUGCAACUCAAUAUGGAGGGAGAUGCUGACCUGGAGCUGCUGACCUCCCUGCUAGAAGAAAAUGAAGGCGCUGAGAGCAGCUAUUCCGGACGCCCGGACUCCUCCAGCGAGCCGGACGCAUAUGAUGAACUUUUUGAUGGUGAUGAAGCCGGUUCUUAUCAUGAAAGCGACAGUGCUGCUGAAGGGCAGGAUGCUGAAGGGGUGCAAGAAGACUUCACAACAUUGUUUGGAGAUGUUGAUGAU